rnacentral:lncRNA from 1 species
GCUGAGCUGAGUCGCAGUAGAGGCUUUUCCACAAUCCAGGCUCCUGUGUUGGCUGAAACACACGCUCAGGAGGGGGCCAGGCAAGGGAAGAGGAAGAGGAGGAGGCGUAAAUCAACGUGGCUUCUUGUCACCUUCUUCGGAAAUGGCUUUGUAAAUGCCUCCUUCCACAUCAGCCCCUUCCUGAACUGCAGCGCAUCCCGGGGAGGAUAUGAGCGGUGCCACUACAGAAGGCAGGGCCCGCAAGGUCCACCGGUGCCGUGCACAACCAGCGCCAAAGCUGUGGCUCAAGAACACGCUCGGUGCAGAUCCCGCCAACUCAGAACACGCUUGCUGAUGUGCGAGCAACCAGGGCGAAGGGGGACGCAUGUGGCAGGAGGGGCAGGGGGUCCUCCCGUCAGGGAUCUGCUCUGGGAGGAGACAGUGGCAGAGGACCAAAAGGAUGGCAACAGAGGAGGAAGACGAAGAGGGUGAGCCACCUUCGUCCCAGGGGUGUCCUGUAUUGGCAGCUGUGUCCCCAGGCUUCAGAGUUAUAAAGGAGGGGGGUCACACGUGUGGGGGGUGAGUGCUUGAAGGGAGAGAGAGGCCCCUAAGAAGGAAGGGGGUUUGAAGAGUGAGAGUGGGCACUGCAUUGGGGUCUAAAACACACACAGAGUGACUCUAUUUAACAGGAGGGACUCAGAAGGGAAAAAACAAAAUUGACCCUGACCUCCAGCCCCCAGAACGGAGACAAUACAUUUCCUCUAUUGAAACACCCCACAGGGGCACCUGGGUGGCUCAGUGGGUUAAAGCCUCUGCCUUCAGCUCAGGUCAUGAUCCCAGGGUCCUGGGAUGGAGCCCCAAAUCAGGCCCUCUGCUCGGCGGGGAACCUGCUUCCCUUCCUCUCUCUCUGCCUGCCUCUCUGCCUACUUGUGAUCUCUGUCUGUCAAAUGAAUAAAUAAAAUCUUUAAAAAAAAAAAAAAGAAAAGAAAAGA